rnacentral:misc_RNA from 1 species
GAUGAAGAACGUAGCGAAAUGCGAUAAGUAAUGUGAAUUGCAGAAUCCAGUGAAUCAUCGAAUCUUUGAACGCACAUUGCGCCCGCCAGCAUUCUGGCGGGCAUGCCUGUUCGAGCGUCAUUUCAACCCUCGACCUCCCUUUGGGGAAGUCGGCGUUGGGGACCGGCAGCACACCGCCGGCCCUGAAAUGGAGUGGCGGCCCGUCCGCGGCGACCUCUGCGUAGUAAUCCAACUCGCACCGGAACCCCGACGCAGCCACGCCGUAAAACACCCAACUUCUGAACGUUGACCUCGAAGCAGGUAGGACUACCCGCUGAGCGUAAGCAUAUCAAUAAGCGGAGGA